CGCCAACAACAGUAUAUAUUUGCUUUUUCGUGUCCCACUCACACCAACAGCUCAAACAAAUCUUGUUUUACUGACCUUCAUCUGAUUCAAUCGAAGGAUCCGCAUAUUUCACAAUGAAGAUUGUCGUUCUCUUAAGUCUUCUGGUUGCUGUGAGUGGCUAUGACUCUAAGGAAUUUCGGAAAUACUUCGACGCAAUCGACAAAAAUCAUGAUGGCAAAAUCACUCUGCUUGAAUGGAUUAUUCACUACAGGAAAUACGACCUAGACGGUACUUGCUUAAUUUCUCUUUUUUUAUAUAUAUAACCAAUGAAACAGACGUUGUUGUCAUCAUCA